CAGGUCUUAACGGGCAGAAAGGUUUCUGCGCUUUUCUGACAGUUCUUCAGUCUUAUCUCGGUGUUUCAUGAUAGCGGGGAAUCUGUAAACAUGUGUUUUCUCCGUUGUCUUUCUUCCCUUGUUAGAGCACACAGGGAAUGACAGUAGUGAAGAAUCAACUCGUUUUCGGCACCGUUAUUAUACAGUUUGGGGAAGCAACUCCGCUGCUGUCGGAAGAAUUAAUGCGCUGGUCUUCCAACAUGGCGGCCAGGAGGCGUCGUGUGUUAACUGCGAGCACUCUAUAGUUAAUGUUCUAUGUUUGAGCUGCUUUUGAAAGCUAAAGUCGAAUUGAAAACAUUAUUGACAUUGUUAAAUUCCAUUUUCAUAAUGGCAAGCUAGGAAUGAUGGUUUGGUUAGAUAAACUAGCGAGUCUGUUUGGUUACCACGGCUCCUACUGUAGCUAUCUAUCCAACUUAAACCCAUUUCGAGUGGUACAUGAACCCAUUUCUAGCGGAUGUUGAACCCAGUUCUAGUGAUAAGAAAAGACAGUGGAAUGUCUAAACUAUCAUCAGAUCGACCCGAACGGAAGUGGCAGCUGCGGUGUAUUAGUUACGGAAACGUAAACGUCACCACAGAAGCGAACAGAGCAAAACGAGAGUUUCCAUUGGACAAAUUCAGGAAGGUCCAUCCCUGUUUCGUAUCCUGAAUGUUAUGCCACAUAAUUGGCGUAAUGAAAACGCCCCUGAAUAUCCAAACAGCAGACAUACAGUAGGGGACUUUUCCAGACCAGACUCGGCAGGGCAGACGUCUCUAAGGGUGUCAUCAGUGUCCGUGAAGGAGGACAACCUUUUAUUCCCCUCAGACAGACAUCUUUAUUUCCUUAUACCUGGUUAAUCUCUUCUGUCAUGGAGACCUAAAGUCCCCCAGGAGGGAUGUUCCAAUCGGGGGGAGAGGGCUGACCCGCCAUGCCCAGGGGGGGUGUGUGUGUGUGUGUGUGUGUGUGGGGGGGGUGAGCGGGGGGUGAGCAGGUGAGCAUGCGUUUUUGUUCAUAUACAUCUUGUUUUACAUUAACACCAAACCCCAUAUCUCAGCCCCAUUACACACAGCCAUGCGUUUAGAGUGGUGUCGGUUGGAGACUGGGAGAGACCAGGGUACAGGGAAGAAACCGUGAGAACAGGGGACAGAGAUGUGUAGGGGAGACCAGGGGAGAGACGGUGAGACCAGGGGAGAGACGGUGAGACCAGGGGAGAGACGGUGAGACCAGGGGAGAGACGGUGAGACCAGGGGAGAGACGGUG